UCGGUUCGAAUCCGAGUGGCGGCA
rnacentral:tRNA from 1 species